UAUAUUUAUUUUUAUAUUUAUAUUUAUAUUUAUAUUUAAAAACAAUCAUGUUACCUUAAUAUCUUCAAUAUUAAACUCUUAAUUUAAGCUAUUUAAAUUAUUAAAUAUAAAAUAUCUUAUUCA